GAUGAACGCUAGCUACAGGCUUAACACAUGCAAGUCGAGGGGCAGCAGGGAUUUAGCUUGCUAAAUCCGCUGGCGACCGGCGCACGGGUGCGUAACGCGUAUCCAACUUUCCCGUUACUCAGGGAUAGCCUUCCGAAAGGGAGAUUAAUACCUGAUGGUGUUUGAAAUCCGCAUGUUCUUCAAACUAAAGAUUUAUCGGUAACGGAUAGGGAUGCGUGACAUUAGAUAGUAGGCGGGGUAACGGCCCACCUAGUCUACGAUGUCUAGGGGUUCUGAGAGGAAGGUCCCCCACACUGGAACUGAGACACGGUCCAGACUCCUACGGGAGGCAGCAGUGAGGAAUAUUGGUCAAUGGUCGGAAGACUGAACCAGCCAAGUAGCGUGAAGGAUGAAGGUUCUAUGGAUUGUAAACUUCUUUAUAUAGGAAUAAAACCUCCCACGUGUGGGAGCUUGUAUGUACUAUAUGAAUAAGCAUCGGCUAACUCCGUG
rnacentral:rRNA from 1 species